UACCCAUCAGUUUAUAAAUUUAUACACGGAAAAGUUUUUGGUGCUUUUCAACAAUUUUUCAUAUUUCAUUGGAGACAAUCUCAUAAAUGAUUUUACAAAGACUCAAUGUAUUCCUGAAAACCCUCAACUUGAUGCUCCUCGUUUGACGUCGUGCCUGAUGAGGAACGCCAGGCGUUCGAAAUUGUCAAUAGCACCGAAUUUACAUUAAUAAAUUUAAUUAUUCAUCGUU